rnacentral:rRNA from 1 species
CAUGCAAGUCGAACGGUAACUAGUAUAACCAAACCGUAUGAGAUGGACUAGGGCUGACUAACUAGGCUAUGCGGCCUACUCAAGACUAGGAGUCUACCCACAGGAUGGGGGAUAUCACCCGCACAAUUCCGAUACUUAGUAGCGGAAGUUCUCAUACGAGAAAAAACAUGGAGUGCUGAUGCAUGGGCAUGCGCGUGAGGGUUCUACGGUAGAGUAACUAACUACCGGGAGUAAGAGUCUCAAGGAGAUGAUACGGUGAUGGCCCGAAAGGAUGAUGAGAUACGGGGGGAAUUCUAAGGGAGGAAACACCUAGGAAUAUUGGUCAAGGGAUAUAUUUCUGAACAGCCCUGCCCUGUUCAAGCAAAGCGGCUUGUGUGUAGAAAGGCGGUGGGUGAAAGGA